rnacentral:lncRNA from 1 species
UACUGUACAGCAUGGUGACCCAGUUAUACAUACAUGUAUACAUUCUUUUUUUCUCAAAUUAAGUGCUCCAUCAUAAGUGACUAGACAGGGUUUCCAAUGCUACACAGCAGGAUCCCAUUUCUAAUCCAUCCCAAAGGCAACAUUCUGCAACUAUUUACCCCAAGCUCCCAGUCCCUUCCACUCCCUCCCCUUCUCCCUUGGAGUUCCUGUCAUGGCACAGUGGAAAGGAAUCUGACUAGGAACCAUGAGGUUUUGUGUUCGAUCCCUGGCCUCGCUCAGUGGGUUAAGGAUCCGGCGUUGCUGUGAGCUGUGGUAUAGGUCAGCCGCUACAGCUCUGAUUAGACCCCUAGCCUGGGAACCUCCAUAUGCUGCCGGUACAGCCCUAAAAAGAUGGAAAAAAGUUCCAAAUGCUUCAUUAUUAAUUGGAUAGCCAGCUUUCAUCUGUAUCUCAAUAUAUUAUUUGAGGUUCAUGUAUAUUACGUUUCAUUGGAGAAGGUAAUAUGCCGAAGUCUUCAGUAACACCUCUUAGCAUUUCCGUUUACAUUUUGCUGGUGCUCUAAAUUAUCUGCUGUUGUCCUAGCUUUCAAAAUCCUUUAGGUAGCCUUAAUGAUAAAUGCGAUAUAUUUAAAGAUUCACAAGCUUCUGUUACAAUGUAAAUAUUGCAUCCUAAAUAUUUUGGAAACAAAAGAAUAAGAAUUGCAAACCUUCAGGGCAGACAUCUGUCAGUGCAUCAUCUGCCAUUUCCAAUAAACCCAUCCAUGCAACUCUGAUUCCUUAAUCAAAUAGCAAGCUCAGCUGUUGGGGUUGACAUCCAAGCUGACUUGAACUUCAAAUGAUGUCUCAAAUCACAAGAAAAGCUGUACUAACCAUUCAUCCAGUCCUUGUGUAACCCGUGAUAUAAACCAAAUUUGCUCCUCUUUGAUAGCUGAUAAAGAAGCACAAAAGAUAUCUGUAAAUGGUCAAAUGAGUCUUAACACUAUGUAACUAGUGAUAGUACACCUCAUUCACUCUGCCUUUAUGAUAAAAAUAUUAUGUUCAAUAACGACACGAUGUAUAUCAUGCAAUCAAAAUGCCAGUGUAUCCGGAGUUCCCGCGGUGGCACAGUGGGUUAAGAGUUCAACCCAGUAGUCUGGAUCACUGCAGACGGGUGGGUUUGAUCCUGGCCCAGUGCAGUGUGUUAAAGGAUCCAGUUCGGAUUCAAUCCCUGGCACUGGAAUUUCCAUAUGUUGCGGGUGUGACCACAAAAAACAAACAAAUAAAUCAAUAAGAAAUUCCAAUGUAUCCUUUCCUAAUCUCUUUUUGACCAAGCAGAGAAAAAAAGUUCCCUUGCAUUGGACAGAAGCAAGUAUAAGGCUUUCCUAUAUCUGUCUCGUGACAACAUUUCAUCUUAAUAUGAACCGGUCACAACAGCUACUGCAGAAAAUUGCUGUUCGCUGGCACCCAGAGAUGCUAUCAUUACUGACAAGACUGAGAAACUCGUCAAUGACAAUUCAGGUCUCAGUGCAAUGAGAGUAUCCAAAUGUAAUGUAAAAAUGUGGGUUUUUUUCAGGGCUCUAUUUGUGGAUCUCUUUAAUUCUUAUUCAUGUCCACUGGUCCUUGACUUGCAUGAAAAUUCAAUGCAAUAAGGGCUUCAGCUCAACUCAAUUCAAUUUCAAAAAUCAUCAAAAAGUAAGAUUUAUAAAGUAAUGUUUAGAAAUCCCUUUGACUGCCUCAGGUGAGAAAAAUACCCUUGGAGGACUCUGUAUCUGCCCAUUUCAGGGCCACUGUCCCCCUCCAUCAUGGAGGACAUCUAUUCUCUUUCAAGUUAACGAGGCUUAAUUCCAUUUCCAUGGGCAAUUGGCAAGAAUAAAUUAGCCACUUCAUUGAGAAUUUUCUGUAACAAAACUCUUUAUGAUUGGAGCCCACAUCACAAAUUUAGGUACUUUCUGAGGAUGUGCCAAUAAAUCUAUCAGGAUAAUUUCUG